UCUCCGAUCAUAAAUUUCAG
rnacentral:siRNA from 1 species